rnacentral:rRNA from 1 species
GUCUACGGCCAUGCCACCCUGAACGUGACCAAUCUCAUCUGAUCUUGGAAGCUAAACAGGGUCAGGCCUGGUUAGUACUUGGAUGGGAGACCACCUAGGAAGACCAGGUGCUGUAGGCA